UACAGAGGUCCCAAGCGUUGUUCGGAUUCACUGGGCGUAAAGGGUGCGUAGGUGGCCAGGUAAGUUCGGUGUGAAAGCUCGGAGCUCAACUCCGAAAAGGCAUUGAAUACUAUCUGGCUGGAGGGUCGGAGGGGAGACUGGAAUUCUCGGUGUAGCAGUGAAAUGCGUAGAGAUCGGGAGGAAUACCAGUGGCGAAGGCGGCCGGCUGGGCCACGACCGACACUGAGGUGCGAAAGCGUGGGGAGCGAACCGG
rnacentral:rRNA from 1 species